rnacentral:tRNA from 3 species
GCAUCCGUAGCUCAGCUGGAUAGAGUACUCGGCUACGAACCGCGCGGUCGGAGGUUCGAAUCCUCCCGGAUGCACCA